GCUUGUCUCAAAGAUUAAGCCAUGCAUGUCUAAGUAUAAAUAGUAUACAGUGAAACUGCGAAUGGCUCAUUAAAACACUUAUAAUUUAUUUGAUAAUUAAACAUUACAUGGAUAACCGUGGUAAUUCUAGAGCUAAUACAUGCUAUCAAGCCCGACUUCUUGAAGGGUUGUAUUUAUUAUACUUAAGCCAAUAUUCAUCGUGUCUAUUGCGAUGAUUCAUAAUAACUGAUCGAAUCUCAAAUUUGAGAUAAAUCAUUCAAGUUUCUGCCCUAUCAGCUUUCGAUGGUAGUUUUUUGGACUACCAUGGCAGUAACGGGUAACUAAGAAUUAGAGUUCUAUUUCGGAGACGGAGCAUGAGAAACGGCUACCACAUCUAAGGAAGGCAGCAGG
rnacentral:rRNA from 1 species